rnacentral:rRNA from 1 species
AGAGCGAACGCUGGCGGCAGGCCUAACACAUGCAAGUCGAGCGCCCGUAGCAAUACGGGAGCGGCAGACGGGAUAGUAACACGUGGGAACGCGCCCUUCGGUUCGGAAUAACUCAGGGAAACUUGAGCUAAUACCGGAUACGCCCUUACGGGGAAAGAUUUAUUGCCGAAGGAACGGCCCGCGUCCGAUUAGCUAGUUGGUGAGGUAAUGGCUCACCAAGGCGACGAUCGGUAGCUGGUCUGAGAGGAUGACCAGCAUCACUGGGACUGAGACACGGCCCAGACUCCUACGGGAGGCAGCAGUGGGGAAUAUUGGACAAUGGGCGCAAGCCUGAUCCAGCCAUGCCGCGUGGAUGAUGAAGGCCUUAGGGUUGUAAAGUCCGUUUUAACGGGGAAGAUAAUGACGGUACCGUAAAUAAGCCCGGCUAACUUCGCGCCAGCAGCCGC